rnacentral:rRNA from 1 species
UACGUAGGGUCCGAGCGUUGUCCGGAUUUACUGGGCGUAAAGCGCGCGCAGGCGGCUCAACAGGCCUGACGUGAAAUCCCUCAGCUUAACCGGGGAACUGCGUCUGAUACUGGAUGGCUUGAGUUUGGGAGAGGGACGCGGAAUUCCAGGUGUAGCGGUGAAAUGCGUAGAUAUCUGGAGGAACACCGGUGGCGAGGGCGGCGUCCUGGACCAACACUGACACUGAGGAGCGAAAGCCAGGGGAGCAAACGGG